UGGAUCCAGACUUUGAUUCUGGCUCAGGAUGAACGCUAGCUACAGGCUUAACACAUGCAAGUCGAGGGGAAACGACAUCGAAAGCUUGCUUUUGAUGGGCGUCGACCGGCGCACGGGUGAGUAACGCGUAUCCAACCUGCCCAUCACUUGGGGAUAACCUUGCGAAAGUAAGACUAAUACCCAAUGACGUCUCUAGAAGACAUCUGAAAGAGAUUAAAGAUUUAUCGGUGAUGGAUGGGGAUGCGUCUGAUUAGCUUGUUGGCGGGGUAACGGCCCACCAAGGCAACGAUCAGUAGGGGUUCUGAGAGGAAGGUCCCCCACAUUGGAACUGAGACACGGUCCAAACUCCUACGGGAGGCAGCAGUGAGGAAUAUUGGUCAGUGGGCGAGAGCCUGAACCAGCCAAGUAGCGUGCAGGAUGACGGCCCUAUGGGCUGUAAACUGCUUUUAUAAGGGAAUAAAGUGAGUCUCGUGAGACUUUUUGCAUGUACCUUAUGAAUAAGGACCGGCUAAUCCCGUGCCAGCAGCCGCGGUAAUACGGAAGGUCCGGGCGUUAUCCGGAUUUAUUGGGUCUAAAGGGAGCGUAGGCCGGAGAUUAAGCGUGUUGUGAAAUGUAGACGCUCAACGUCUGCACUGCAGCGCGAACUGGUUUCCUUGAGUACGCACAAAGUGGGCGGAAUUCGUGGUGUAGCGGUGAAAUGCUUAGAUAUCACGAAGAACUCCGAUUGCGAAGGCAGCUCACUGGAGCGCAACUGACGCUGAAGCUCGAAAGUGCGGGUAUCGAACAGGAUUAGAUACCCUGGUAGUCCGCACGGUAAACGAUGGAUGCCCGCUGUUGGUCUGAAUAGGUCAGCGGCCAAGCGAAAGCAUUAAGCAUCCCACCUGGGGAGUACGCCGGCAACGGUGCAACUCAAAUGAAUUGACGGA
rnacentral:rRNA from 1 species